UACGAAGGGUGCAAACGUUGCUCGGAAUCACUGGGCGUAAAGCGCACGUAGGCGGCUUUUUAAGUCGGUGGUGAAAUCCUGGAGCUCAACUCCAGAACUGCCUCCGAUACUGAAAGGCUCGAGUCCGGGAGAGGUGAGUGGAACUGCGAGUGUAGAGGUGAAAUUCGUAGAUAUUCGCAAGAACACCAGUGGCGAAGGCGGCUCACUGGCCCGGUACUGACGCUGAGGUGCGAAAGCGUGGGGAGCAAAUAGG
rnacentral:rRNA from 1 species